AGGAGUAAAAGUCGUAACAAGGUUUCCGUAGGUGAACCUGCGGAAGGAUCAUUAAUGAAACGCUACGUCUGGGAAAGGUUGUCGCUGGCCUCUCUUGGCAUGUGCACGUCUUGACCGGACGUUUAUGUCCUCCUUCACACCUGUGCACCAACUGUAGCUAGGGAUGAUCACGGAGCCCGUCGGGUUCCGAAUGCCCUCGCUAUGAAUGUUUUUGCACCCCCCCUAUAAUAAAGUUUUUUUGGAAUGUUUUGCAAGCGUGUAACAGCGCGAAUGAAAUACAACUUUCAGCAACGGAUCUCUUGGCUCUCGCAUCGAUGAAGAACGCAGCGAAAUGCGAUAAGUAAUGUGAAUUGCAGAAUUCAGUGAAUCAUCGAAUCUUUGAACGCACCUUGCGCUCCUUGGUAUUCCGAGGAGCAUGCCUGUUUGAGUGUCAUGAAAUUAUCAACUGCUUUGGCUUUGUUUCGAAGCGAAGUUGGAUUUGGAGUGUUUGCUGGCGCGUUCGGCUCCUCCCAAAAGUAUGAAUCCCUCUUCUCGGGCGGAAAGUAUCUUUGAUGUGAUAAUUAUCUACGUCGCGGAGAAAGCCUUGAGCGAGAGCGGCUUGCUUGGAAAAGGGGGCCGUUACAAAUGAUGGGACCCCCCUUCCGUUUGACCAAUUCGACCUCAAAUCAGGCAGGACUACCCGCUGAACUUAAGCAUAUCAAUAAGCGGAGGAAAAGAAACUAACAAGGAUUCCCCUAGUAACUGCGAGUGAAGCGGGAAAAGCUCAAAUUUGAAAUCUGGCGUGCCUCCGGUCGUCCGAGUUGUAGUCUGGAGAAGCGUCUUCCGUGCUGGACCGUGUACAAGUCCCUUGGAACAGGGCGUCAUAGAGGGUGAGAAUCCCGUCUUUGACACGGACUACCAGCGCUCUGUGAUGCGCUCUCAACGAGUCGAGUUGUUUGGGAAUGCAGCUCAAAAUGGGUGGUAAAUUCCAUCUAAAGCUAAAUACAGGCGAGAGACCGAUAGCGAACAAGUACCGUGAGGGAAAGAUGAAAAGCACUUUGGAAAGAGAGUUAAACAGUACGUGAAAUUGCUGAAAGGGAAACGCUUGAAGUCAGUCGCGUCCGCCAGGACUCAGCCUCGCUUUUGCUUGGUGCACUUUCUGGUAGAUGGGCCAGCAUCGAUUUCGACCGUCAGAGAAAGUUGGAGGGAAUGUGGCACCUUUCGAGGUGUGUUAUAGCCCUUCAUCGCAUGUGACGGUCGGGAUCGAGGAUCGCAGCACGCCCUAACGGGCUGGAGCUUUGCUCACACACG
rnacentral:rRNA from 1 species